rnacentral:misc_RNA from 1 species
GAAUAAACCUGAUUGGAAUGGAAAGCCCACAGCGCAGCGAGGACUUGGAAUGGAAAGCAGGACUACAA